GAUGAAGAACGCAGCGAAAUGCGAUAAGUAGUGUGAAUUGCAGAAUUCAGUGAAUCAUCGAAUCUUUGAACGCACAUUGCGCCCGCCAGUAUUCUGGCGGGCAUGCCUGUUCGAGCGUCAUUUCAACCAUCAAGCCCCCGGGCCUGUGUUGGGGACCUGCGGCUGCCCGCAGGCCCCGAAAACCAGUGGCGGGCUCGCUGUCACCCCGAGCGUAGUAGCUAACACCUCGCCCAGGGAGUGCCGCGGGUCCCGGCCGUAAAACCUAACACCUAAGGUUGACCUCGGAUCAGGUAGGAAGACCCGCUGAACUUAAGCAUAUCAAUAAGCGGAGGA
rnacentral:misc_RNA from 1 species